GCAACUUACGUAAUUUUUCGGCUUCAUCCAAAAUCAGGCCCUAAAUAUACUGUUAUCUGAAAUUCUGUUUUUUGAUUCAACCCACAUUGAUCUCAACACUUUUCAACUGGUUGUACAUGAUACAAAGAAUAGAGUAACUAUACAUCAAUUAAAGCAUAUAAAGUUUAAAGGGUAAGUAUUGGACCCACAAUCCUCCUUUCAUCGCAUUUCUUACUGUUUGUAGGGUAGGGUUUGCACCUACUGCCACGUGUCCUCCUCCCACAAGGGACUAUAGGUGUGUUCCAAAGGGUGGUCAACAUAGUGGAAGGGAUAGCACUCUCUUAAACCAGGCUCCCCUCCAUCCUGGUCCAUCCAUCCAAUCUCAUCCAUACACGUGUCCAGACACCAUUGGUCCAUGCCAUAACUCAUCGGAGUCGUGACUUCAUCGACCCAGCCAAAGGGCUCGUACAUCUCCCACAUCGAUGUCGAGCAUUGGUCCUCGGGUUCGCUUCCGAAUCCAGGUGAAAAACAGUUGUUAGGGUCAAUCUCUGCUUCCAAGGAUCUCAUCACAUCGCUCAACUUCUCCUCCUCCUCUGCCCCCUCAGCAGUUUGUCCCUCCUCCAACAAGGCCAUGAUCAUGGCUCCAUCCAAACCAGGCUCAGAGAAUUUCAGGUUCUCCAGGACCAUUGCAUCGAAGUUCUCGUAUGCAAUCAAAUCCAUCUCUCAAAACUAAAAAACACAGAGGAGAAAGAAUAUCCAAAACAGGAAAAGCUCACAGUAUUCAGUAGAAACAAUGAAGCAACAAUGGUUUGAUGAGUGCUUCUCCUGUGAGGACCCUUUUAUAGGCAAUGCACCUGAUAAGGAUAACUUAAACGUUAAGAGCCUACCAUGUGCAACUAAAUCACUCAAAAAGCUCAACAAUGACCCCACAUGGAUUAGAUCUACAAGGUAAGUGGCUCCUCUGACUGGUGCGUGCUUUACAGGUAAGGGAGACCGGGCGGCACCCACAUGAGUGACGACAGACAGGAUUGGGACAAGGAUGAGAACGGGAUCGACAGCGACACCGGUGGCGGCAACAAGAAGCUACAACAACAUUGGUGGCUCAGGGGGCCAUGGCCAUUAUCUUAAGGACAUAAAAUAAUGGCUUGAGGGUGGGACUGACGCCAAAACCACUAGGUUUAGGUUAAACCACUAGGUUUAGGUUUUAAAAUAAGUGUAUUGUCUCCAUAUUCUAACCACCUAAUUUCUUGCAAUUGAUUUUGCACAUGGUGGGUUGUAGAUAUGCAAUCCCUUCCUCAUCGCUAAUGGGUGGUGAAGCUCUCUCCAUGUGAUGCCAACCCAUCCAUCUUUUGAAUGUGACCCUCCACCAUCUUUGCAGUGGUGGGGGAAAUCCCCAGAAGGGCAAGGGGCUGUCUAGUACCCUAAUCCAUCAUCCAACAUUUGCAAGUAAUGGGUAAAAUUGUGCCCUAACUUUACUAGCAUGUCUGAUCACUUCUACAAUGAGUGAAUGCUAGCAACAGCAUACUAAGAUUAGGGAAAGUGUAAUUUGAUGUAUAUGCUCAUGAUGGAAACUUGACCUUGUAACUUCUCACUGUUCAAUCCAAUGGGCAAGUUGGAGAUGGAGGGCCCAAAUGAAUGACAUGUUUGAUGGAAC
rnacentral:lncRNA from 1 species